rnacentral:rRNA from 1 species
AGGCCGUGCGGGCCGCUACACAUGCAGUCGAACGGGCACUUCGGUGCUAGUGGCAGACGGGUGAGUAACGCGUGAGUAACGUGCCUCUUUUCUGGGGAUACCGUUUCGAAAGGAACGUUAAUACCGAAUGUGGUGUAAGGGUGGCAUCAUCCUUGCAUUAAACUGUUAGGGAGAAGAGAUCGGCUCGCGUACUAUCAGCUAGAUGGUGGGGUAACGGCCUACCAUGGCUACGACGGUUAACUGGUCUGAGAGGACGAUCAGUCACACUGGAACUGAGACACGGUCCAGACUCCUACGGGAGGCAGCAGUGAGGAAUCUUGCACAAUGGGCGAAAGCCUGAUGCAGCGACGCCGCGUGAGGGACGAAGGCCUUCGGGUUGUAAACCUCUGUCAGUGGGGAAGAAGUUUGACGGUACCCACUGAGGAAGCUUCGGCUAACUACGUGCCAGCAGCCGCGGUAA